UGGAGAUCAGCCCUGGUACCCUGCUGGUGGCGCCUCCUUGCAGCCAUCUGAAGGUUUCCCCCACACACAGCCAACCGCCACCCCCUCCGGCCUCCCACCCCGAUGGCUGUCAAGGUCGCCAUAAGGCAACCUAGUCCAAAUGGCGGUAGGAUAAAACGGUUAUUUUCAGAUUGUCCGCCGAGGGGGAAGACGAAGGGGAAAACGUAUAAAAGAGACGGCGAGAAGAGACCUUACAGGGGUAGGAGGAUAGAAUAAAAAUUGUGAUUUCCCUGCCAUGUGGGGAUAGUGGGCUAGAUAAGG
rnacentral:lncRNA from 1 species